AAAAGUAUAUGUUUGAAAUAUAUGCUAGCUCAAAUGACCAUCCUCAAUAAGAAGUAUAGAAGGGUUACUUAGACUUAUAAGAAGGCCGAGCCCACCGGCACUUAACACCAUCACAGCAGCACAAGGUUAGAACCUGAAAAACAACAGGGAAUAAAACCCUGAGUAUGGAAUUACUCAGCAAGUCUUACCCGACUAAGGAAAAGACUCUCAAGGGUAUGCUGGAUAAAUAGGAGUCAAGGAGAGGCUUUAGCAAAAAUCAACUUAUACUUUUGCAGAAGUAGCUUACUAAAGUGAGUCCUUACUUUCAAUCUUUUAACGCCAUAUUAAGUAUUAAUAGACUCUAUUUGCAUCUAGUCUAAUUUCAACAUCUCAUCAAUACAACAUCAUUUUUAUCCAUAGUGUUCACAUCCUGACUUUAGGUUGUAGAAAAGUGACCAAGUCUUCAUAACCGCGAAGGUACGGCGAUCCGAAUCGAUUAUACUCAGCUGAGGAUCUCCAAUCACACGACAUAUGUAGCACUUAACCCUUGCAUAUGUCAACCCGCCACCGGGGUUCUUAAGACCAUAUCAGGUUCACGCAAACCGAGAGCACAGAUACACCACCGUCCAGCCUCUUGCCACGGAGGGUACACGCUACUCUCGCCACCGCUCCACGCCCAUUUCGUGUUAUCUUAUUUUGGCCUUAGUCUGCCCGAGGCAAGGCUUACCCAUGACGAGGCAUGUGACCAGUUAAAGGGUCCUCGGUCAGCACGCCUACAUACGCAUUAAUCCUUAACCAACCUGGGUAGAACAUCACCUGUUCCUAACCCAAGUCUCAAUUUAAGUAUUUCCAUCCUUAGGAUUGUGUCUGUUCCUUAGGAUGAAAGAGCAUCACAGGGAACUUUGCAGUAAGAUCCCACUAUUGCUCCAAAUGAAAAUAUUCUUGCAGGUAGAAGCCAUCCUCUCCCGGGUUAGACUGAGGACAACCUCUAUCCACAAGAUCUAAGCAAGGCUAAGCAUUUUUGUAAAUCAUAUUUUGAUACUUCACAGAAGUAUCUAUAAAGGUAUGGAUAUCAAGGAAAGCCAUGCAUCAAAGAGUUUCAAGCAAUUCCUAUAAACUUAAUGCACAUUUCACUAGACUUAAAGUGUGCGAAAAGUAUUUAAAAACACAAGGAAAGGGGUUGCAUGCACCGGGGCUUGCCUGAGUAACACUAGGUUAGUGUUGUUAGGUGACGUCCGCUUGACGAGUAUUCUUCGACCGAGCACUUGCUUGAUUUAACCAUCUUCAGGUUGGUCCAUCAGCU
rnacentral:lncRNA from 1 species